rnacentral:rRNA from 1 species
AUUGAACGCUGGCGGCAGGCCUAACACAUGCAAGUCGAGCGGAUGAAGGGAGCUUGCUCCUGGAUUCAGCGGCGGACGGGUGAGUAAUGCCUAGGAAUCUGCCUGGUAGUGGGGGAUAACGUCCGGAAACGGGCGCUAAUACCGCAUACGUCCUGAGGGAGAAAGUGGGGGAUCUUCGGACCUCACGCUAUCAGAUGAGCCUAGGUCGGAUUAGCUAGUUGGUGGGGUAAAGGCCUACCAAGGCGACGAUCCGUAACUGGUCUGAGAGGAUGAUCAGCCACACUGGAACUGAGACACGGUCCAGACUCCUACGGGAGGCAGCAGUGGGGAAUAUUGGACAAUGGGCGAAAGCCUGAUCCAGCCAUGCCGCGUGUGUGAAGAAGGUCUUCGGAUUGUAAAGCACUUUAAGUUGGGAGGAAGGGCAGUAAGUUAAUACCUUGCUGUUUUGACGUUACCAACAGAAUAGGCACCGGCUAACUUCGUG